GACGAACGCUGGCGGCGUGCCUAAUACAUGCAAGUAGAACGCUGAAGGAGGAGCUUGCUUCUCUGGAUGAGUUGCGAACGGGUGAGUAACGCGUAGGUAACCUGCCUUGUAGCGUGGGAUAACUAUUGGAAACGAUAGCUAAUACCGCAUAAUAGUAGAUGUUGCAUGACAUUUGCCUAAAAGGUGCAAUUGCAUCACUACCAUAUGGACCUGCGUUGUAUUAGCUAGUUGGUGGGGUAACGGCUCACCAAGGCGACGAUACAUGGCCGACCUGAGAGGGUGAUCGGCCACACUGGGACUGAGACACGGCCCAGACUCCUACGGGAGGCAGCAGUAGGGAAUCUUCGGCAAUGGACGGAAGUCUGACCGAGCAACGCCGCGUGAGUGAAGAAGGUUUUCGGAUCGUAAAGCUCUGUUGUAAGAGAAGAACGAGUGUGAGAGUGGAAAGUUCACACUGUGACGGUAUCUUACCAGAAAGGGACGGCUAACUACGUG
rnacentral:rRNA from 1 species